UGGUGGAGCGAUUUGUCUGGUUAAUUCCGAUAACGAACGAGACUCUAGCCUAUUAACUAGUUCACCCGUUCUGUCUGUGCGGGUGCCAACUUCUUAGAGGGACAAGUGGCUUUUAGUCCACACGAGAUUGAGCAAUAACA
rnacentral:rRNA from 1 species